CAUUAAAGAGUUCUAUAACUCCCAAACCCAUGUGAACAUACCUAACGUUGCCUCGGCAGGUCGCACCUACCUUGUAGCACCCUACCCUGUAGGGCCUACCCGGGAGGUGCGGGUAAGCCUGCCGGCGGCCCACCAAACUCUGUUUGAUAUUGAAUUCUGAACCUAUAACUAAAUAAGUUAAAACUUUCAACAACGGAUCUCUUGGUUCUGGCAUCGAUGAAGAACGCAGCGAAAUGCGAUAAGUAAUGUGAAUUGCAGAAUUCAGUGAAUCAUCGAAUCUUUGAACGCAUAUUGCGCCCAUUAGUAUUCUAGUGGGCAGGACCGUUCGAGCGUCAUUUCAACCCUUAAGCCUUCGUUGCUUAGUGUUGGGAGCCUACGGCAACGUAGCUCCUCAAAGUUAGUGGCGGAGUUAGUUCACACUCUAGACGUAGUAAUUUUUUAUCUCGCCUAUUAGUUGGACUAAUCCCCUGCCGUAAAACCCCCAAUUUAUCAAGGUUGACCUCGAAUCGGUUCAGACAAACUCGCUAAAUUGAAGCAUCUUAGUCAGCGAAGGAAAAGAAACCAACAGGGAUUGCCCUAGUAACGGCGAGUGAAGCGGCAACAGCUCAAAUUUGAAAUCUGGCCCUCGGGUCCGAGUUGUAAUUUGUAGAGGAUGCUUUUGGCGCGGUGCCUUCCGAGUUCCCUGGAACGGGACGCCUUAGAGGGUGAGAGCCCCGUACGGUUGGACACCAAGCCUCUGUAAAGCUCCUUCGACGAGUCGAGUAGCUUGGGAAUGCUGCUCUAAAUGGGAGGUAAAUUUCUUCUAAAGCUAA
rnacentral:rRNA from 1 species